rnacentral:rRNA from 1 species
UACGUAGGGGGCAAGCGUUGUCCGGAUUUAUUGGGCGUAAAGAGCGUGUAGGCGGUUUGGUAGGUCCGUUGUGAAAACUUGAGGCUCAACCUCGAGACGCCGAUGGAAACCAUCAGACUAGAGUCCGGAAGAGGAGAGUGGAAUUCCUGGUGUAGCGGUGAAAUGCGCAGAUAUCAGGAAGAACACCCGUGGCUAAGGCGGCUCUCUAGUACGGUACUGACGCUGAGACGCGAAAGCGUGGGGAGCGAACAGG